CGAAGGUGGGCAAGCGUUGUUCGGAGUUUACUGGGCGUACAGGGAGCGUAGGCGGUUGGAUAAGCCCUCCGUGAGAUCUCCAGACUUAACCUGGAAAGUGCAGAGGGGACUGUUCAGCUAGAGGAUGGGAGAGGAGCGCGGAAUUCCCGGUGUAGCGGUGAAAUGCGUAGAGAUCGGGAGGAAGGCCGGUGGCGAAGGCGGCGCUCUGGAACAUUUCUGACGCUGAGGCUCGAAAGCGUGGGGAGCAAACAGGAUUAGAUACCCUGGUAGUCCACGCCUUAAACGAUGGAUACUAAGUGUCGGCGGGUUACCGCCGGUGCCGCAGCUAACGCAGUAAGUAUCCCGCCUGGGAAGUACGGCCGCAAGGUUG
rnacentral:rRNA from 1 species